GGUAGCUAUAAUUUAAAGGUAAAAUAGUCGUAUGUGGAGUGACGUAUCUGAGUUCAAUUCUCAGUAGUUACC